UACAGAGGGGGCAAGCGUUGUUCGGAAUUACUGGGCGUAAAGGGCGCGUAGGCGGCCUUCUAAGUCGAACGUGAAAUCCCCGGGCUCAACCCGGGAACUGCGUCCGAUACUGGAAGGCUUGAAUCCGGGAGAGGGAUGCGGAAUUCCAGGUGUAGCGGUGAAAUGCGUAGAUAUCGGAAGGAACACCAGUGGCGAAGGCGGCCGUCUGGGCCAAUACUGACACUGAGGCACGAAAGCGUGGGUAGCAAACAGG
rnacentral:rRNA from 1 species